AACGAACGUUAGCGGCGCGCCUAACACAUGCAAGUCGAGCGAGAAAGGGGCAACCCCGGUAAAGCGGCGCACGGGUGAGUAACACGUAGGUAAUCUACCUUCUGGUGGUGGAUAACCUUCCGAAAGGAGGGCUAAUACAGCAUGAGACCACGGUCCCCGAGAGGGACAGGGGUCAAAGUCGGCCACUGUACACAAGCUGACGCCAGAAGAUGAGCCUGCGGCCCAUCAGCUAGUUGGUAGGGUAACGGCCUACCAAGGCGAAGACGGGUAGCUGGUCUGAGAGGAUGAUCAGCCACACUGGAACUGAGACACGGUCCAGACUCCUACGGAGGCAGCAGUGGGAAUCUUGCGCAAUGGGCGAAAGCCUGACGCAGCGACGCCGCGUGAGUGAUGAAAGGCCU
rnacentral:rRNA from 1 species